rnacentral:rRNA from 1 species
UACGGAAGGCAGCAGUGGGGAAUAUUGCACAAUGGGCGAAAGCCUGAUGCAGCUAUGCCGCGUGUAUGAAGAAGGCCUUAGGGUUGUAAAGUACUUUCAUCGGGGAGGAAAAAACAAAACUAAUAAUUUUAUUUCUUGACGUUACCCGAAAAAGAAGCACCGGCUAACUCCGUGCCAGCAGCCGCGGUAAUACGGAGGGUGCUAGCGUUAAUCAGAAUUACUGGGCGUAAAGAGCACGUAGGUGGUUUUUUUAAGUCAGAUGUGAAAUCCCUGGGCUUAACCUAGGAACUGCAUUUUGAAACUGAAAUACUAGAGUAUCGUAGAGGGAGGUAGAAUUCUAGGUGUAGCGGUGAAAUGCGUAGAUAUCUGGAGGAAUACCUGUGGCGAAAGCGGCCUCCUAAACGAAUACUGACACUGAGGUGCGAAAAGCGUGGGGAGCAAAACAGGGAUUAGACC